rnacentral:lncRNA from 1 species
AUGGUCUGGGAUUUCGGUAGUAAGAGACAGAAGAAAGAAAUCUGGAUUACACUUUCUGUCUGUGCAGUUUCUGGUUGCAUGGCCUGCCCUUGCAGAUCUUGGAGCUGUGCCUCUACUAAUACGAGGACCCUGUUAACGAAGCUAAUGAGGAAUGUAAUACCUAACAAAAGGAAAACUGAUGUGCUGAAAUAUUCCAUUUUUCAGAGGAAAAAUAGAUGCAUGCCUGAGGGGAGCGGGAAUUGUGGCCAUCAUUUAUGGAAUUGUGUUUGUUAGUUGUCUGCCCCCCAGCUCUUCCUGCCGGUGUUUCUGAGAGCAGCAGGGCAACUGUCAAUGGUGAUCAAACUUUCUUCAGAGAAUCCUGUAUUCUGAAAAAGAACAGCCAACGUCUGCCAAUGGGCAGUUCCCUGGAGAAGAACACGAAGCAGAAGCAAAUAAUGUCACUGAUAAGGAGGUAAAGGAAAAUGUUGGAAGUGUAUUUUAACUGUACUGCUGUUUGGCAUGUCCUGUGUCAAAAGUAUGUGGGCAGUUCUUUACACAUAACAUGCACUAACUUCUAGGAGAUUUUUGCCUUUCAUAUGCACAUAUAUUAUCGAAUUUAUUGGUCUAUGGGUUGAAAUUUAUUUAUUUAUUUAUUUAUUUAAUGUCAAAUGAUCACUGUUUUGUAUGGAG